rnacentral:lncRNA from 1 species
CCUAAACCUUGCCCGACUAGGUGGAAUUACAUGUACGAAAGUUUAGUAGUAGCGUAUGAAUAUAGAAACCCAAUUAAUGCUACGUUUAAUUCUCGGGAUGUUCUGUCAAUGCAAGCGUCAACUGUUGCAUCGGAGAGCGCUUUUAGUCAAGCAAGACUACAAAUAGGUGAUCACAGAGCGUCGAUGCGGGAGAGCUUGGAAAAAUCAGUGCUUUUUCGAGAUUGGAUCCA